CUCUUUUUGCUUUCAUGGCCCUGUCCUUCAUUCGUGAUGAGGUCACCUGGCUGGUUCGCCACACAGAGAAUGUCACCAAGACAAAGACACCUGAGGACUAUGCUGACUCGAGCAUUGCAGAGCUACUUUUCUUGUUGGAGGGGAUUAGGUCUCUGGUCCGAAGACACAUCAAAGUGAUACAGCAAUACCACCUUCAGUACUUGGCAAGAUUUGAUGCUCUUGUGCUCAGUGACAUCAUUCAGGUAUGAAAUUUAAUUGAUUAUACUUUGGAAAUUUCAGGAUGAUCCCUAGUGAUUUUCCUAUUGAAACCACUCUG
rnacentral:lncRNA from 1 species